GCACAGAAAAUUAAGUAAAUUAUUAAAAACAACAACAACAACACUGGCACGACCACUGGAUUUCUUUCCUGGGAUAACCUGAUUCUUCCACCUCCUGUGAUACAGCCACUCUUCUGAGGGCACGGCCAUUUCUGCAGAGCUACAUGAGGGGCUGUAGCUGUGGGUGUGACCCGCAGACUGGGCGUGGGGUGGGACAGCAGGAGCAGGAACUGCCUGUGCCCCCCAAGGUAUGUGGUCUUGAGCUUUGCUGCUAUGGAUAAGUCGAUCUCCUUGAUGAUGGUUUCAGGAAGUGGGGCACUGGGAAGCUGAUUAGAUUACAAGGCAAAAUGGAUUCGAAUGAGAUCAUUGCCCUUAUGAAAGAGAACUGGAGAGCGCCCUUGUCCCGUCCACUGUGCAAAGUCAGAGUGUGAAGAUGACAACUAGAACCGUCACCUGGAUCUGCUGGUGCCUUGACCCUGAACCUGCAGCCUUUGGAACAGUGAGGAGUAGAUGACAGAAGAUUGAAGCCUCUUGGUGGUGAUAUUUUGUUACAGCAGCUGGACUGGACUAAGAAAACCUUCCUGAUCCCUCCAAAGGAGCCAACACUGCUGUAUUGGCUCAAGGUUAUGGUUGGCAUCUUCUGAGGCAGUGUCUCUCAACCUUCCCAAUACAGUGACUCCCAACCACAGAACUAUUUUCAUGCUACUCCAUAACUAAUCACAGAACCGUGACUAGCUGCAAAAUUAAAUGAAGUGCAGGCAUCACCCCAGAGAAACUGAAGUGUCAGGAGGGGCAGGCCAUGCAGGCAAUGAGCCGGAGGCUCAGCUUUAUGACAACCAGGAAAAGGGUCCUCAACUUCAUGUCCCCUUGUCCAUUCUGGAAGAGCGACUGGAGGAAACGGAGCAGCGGCUGCCCCAGACCCGGAAGAGCAACACUCCCUCAAGAAAGUCCGGGAGCUCCUCACAGAACUGCCUUCUGACUCACAGAAGUCCAGACAAGCAAAUCCACUCACCCCAAAUGAUGCCCCCAGUGGACAAAUGCUUCCUGGUAUUGUCUAGGGUAGGGAGAUUUGUUUACUGGGUGAGUAACCCUCCUUUCUGGUCGGUCAAGGGUGUCUGGGGAGAUGGCUCAGACUGGCUGCACAGGAAUGAGGACCUGAACUCAAUCCCUAGUAUCCACAUAAAAACCAUCCUGGUGCUGAAGAGGCAGAGAUAGGCAGAGCCCUGGCACUCACUAGGCAUCUAGCCUGAUCCUGGAGUCCCAGGUUCCAGAGAGAGACCCUGUCUCAAAAACCAAAGUGUAUAGACAACUCCUGAAGAACCACACUUGAGGCUGACCUAUGACCUCCACAAACAUUCGCACAUACAUGCACAUGCAACUACACAUGCGUGCAUGCACACAUACAUACAUACACACA